AUUAUUCAGUUUGAGGCUUCUUUGGCUGGCAAAGAUAAAAAAAGCACUCGAGAAAUAUGGUGUGGUGUGUGGUGCGAUGCAGUGAAUUGCGGUGUGGUGUGGUGUUGAAAAAUGAAAUCGACCAAAGGGCUCAACCACACAAAUAAUUUGGUGUAUGGAAAUUUUUAUGACAUUGCAUUACGAAUUGCAGUAAAUAAAUCCAAGUUCUUGAACUCUUGAAUGCCACAAGUAAAAGACUCGCAUAAAGUUGUAGGGUUUCUCUGCAUGUUGCGGAACAAACAUGCCAUUCACUACAACAAUGCAGAAAAAAUUUCAAUAAAUGUGGACAUUUGCUUUUUCACUUCACAAGCAUGAAGACAAAUAUGCUUAAAGUUCCUGCAACAUAAAUAAUUGUAAUGCAUGUAAACUGCUAGCGCAUGGAAGAAUGCUUACUACGAGGGGUCUUAGAGUGCAAGACUGUCGACUGGAAAUUCCAGUGAGAAAAUUUUAUUGAAAGUUUGCUGAACAUUUUGGGGAAAGUUUCAAAAAAAAAUCGUUUUUGGAGAGAAUUUCAAGAAAAUUUUGCAUUUAAAUAAAACUGCAUUGGAAUUUUG